GCUGAUAAAAUUUAUUUUUAUCCCUGCAAAUCAAAACUACCAUUUGUUGGGCUCUUUUAUUCAUUUUUAAACUGAGAUUCCCGCCUGGUGUACCAAUGGUAACCAGGGCCUCUUUUAAGAAUUUGUCAGUGGGGGGGGCAUCAAGAGGAAGGGACCCAACUAGGAGGUGGUGAACGGGAAGAGUGGGAACUUGUCCGGCCCAGAAAAAUGUUGUAUUUUUAAGUGUCUGGGGCUUGAUUUUCACCAUUUUUAGACACAAUUUUUAAUAUUUUAUCCGCUAGAUAAAGAUUUAGUCAUGGGAAUACUAAAAUACUCUUCUUCACUAAGUUAUUCUUCCCUUUUUUGCUUAUAUUGUGGACAGAAGGGACCUUCACUGGAGGACAACAUAGUUCACUGGAAGGGCCAAAACAGGGGCUGGCAAGUCCCCCCCCCCCCAGUCUAUGGUUUUAAAAG